UCUCAUUAGACUAAAUAAUUAACCUUUCCAGUGACCUCAUAUUACACCAUAUGUUAAUAAUGCUAUUGAUAAAUCAAAUCAUAUUCAUGCUUAGCUACUAACACCUAUGCUACCAGAGAAGUCACCUAUUUAUGAUCAACUAUUUGUAAUUAUAUGAAAGCUUUAAAACGUGAUCACAAAUUAUGCAACAUAAUCAAAACGUGCUGUCAUACUUUGUUACUUGUUUUCUAAGUAUAAUGAUAUUGUUAAUCAAGCAUACAUAUUAGGUUAUAUAAGAAGAGUAGUUAGCUAUGUAGCUCAGUGCUAGGAGUAGAAAAAGAAUUCACCAAAAUGGAACAGUCUGGGUAUGGAGGUAUCGCAAAGAUAAAAGAAUGGAAUGGCUGUAAUAGGUAUCUCUCUCUUUCAUUUAGAAGAAAAAAGAAAAGAAAAGAAAAGAUAGGGAUGCUAAUGCUAUUAUAAAUAACUGGUGUAGGAACAAUGACGCAAGCUUAUGAUUCGGAGAGAAGUACUCCAUAUCUAACUCCGAUGACCCAUCUAACUCCGAUGACCCCCCUAAUCGCUGUAAGUUGCCUUUCGUAAUUAUUUCAUGUAAAUUUUUCUAGAGAGAAAAUACUUGUUUGUUUUACAAGAAAUAUUCUGAAUAUAGGUUGGAGCAAUAUUUUUUGCGUUCAUAAAAUUACUUCAUAUAAUUACUCCAUUCUUUUUGCAACAAUCUUCUCAGUAUGGGUUCCGUUUAUCAAGCAUCAGCUUAUAUAUUUGGGAAUGUUGGUGCAUCAUCAAGAGAAUGGAUCCAAGGAUGCGAGGUUUCAUUCUACUGGUUUUUGCAGUAGUUAUGUUGGAACCAUUGCAUUUUAUUAGCCUUCCUGAAUUUGACAAAAAUAAUGUUCUCAAUUUUCAGGAAGGUUUUGCUAUGUCUUUUACUUCGAUGGUACUAAUUUCUGCAGUGUUUUGGAGCUUUAUUAUAAAUUUAAUUUUAAUAAAACGAAUUUAUCCUAUGCUCCAAUGUUUGGAGCUAAUAUUUUGGGUAUUAGCCCCUUUGAAUGUAAUUUCUGAUUUGGUACAUAGAGCUGAGAAAAGUUGGGUAACAGUGAAUUCGUAUACCAUACCAAUGUUAUGGUUUACGAUCUUAGGAGGCGUUUUGAUAGCUCUAAUGUUAGGUUUUAUAGUAUUUUUAAUCUCUUUUUUAUUAUGGUUAUAUAACAAAAGGAAGGGAUUAGCUUUUCAAAGUGUUAAUUUUAUCGAGGCUAGUAUAGGUGUGUAAAUAUAUGUAUACAAUUGUAAUUUAAUGUAAUUUACUAAUGAAGUAUUUAAUUAAUUAAUUAUUUUUGUUUAUUUUAAUUAAUUAAUCAUUAUGCAAUUGCUUGCUUAGAAACUGACUUGCCCUAAUGCAGCAAAUCCUUCCCAAUAUUUUUAGCUAUCUCCUUGUUACUUUCAUAAUUCAUACAUUUAAUUUGUUAUUUUGCAUGCAAAAUCUUCCUUGUAAGCAACUACAACUUAGAGCUGGAUAUUGCAUCUAGAACUGGAUCAGAUGCUUUGGCUCGCCUCUGCAUGAGGCUCUGGUACAUGAAAGUAUUUUGUGAUGCCAAAAUGAAAAGAACUCCAUGUGAUCAACCCUUUUUAGUUUGGCAUAUCUUUGGCCUAUAGUGACCUUACCCUCUAGAUCUUGUAAUCUUUUCCUCCAUGGAAAUUGCUUCAAUUUUUUCAAUUUUUAGAUUUGCUAAAUAUUUAUUAUUAUAAAAAGUAUUAUUCUUGUAGAGUGGUUUGUGAGAGUUGAAAUUCGAGGUAGGUUGAAGCAUUUAGAACUGAGUUCCUGUAAGCUCUCUCUGACUUGACUUCCACUCAGUUUACAUUUACAUUGUGUUUUAUGUG